rnacentral:SRP_RNA from 2 species
GCUGGGCGUGGUGGCUCACGCCUGUAAUCCCAGCACUUUGGGAGGCUGAGAUGGGUGGAUCACCUGAGGUCAGGAGUUUGAGACCAGCCUGGCCAACACGGUGAAACCCCAUCUCUA